rnacentral:lncRNA from 1 species
UACAUGGAAAGAUGCAAACUUCUGCCCCUCAAAUAGCGAAGCGAUGCUGUUUCUUGUAACUAUGUUGACAAUUUUUUUUUUUUUACUUAUUGAAUGUGGUUCUGCAUGCUUCUGUGAACAUUCUUGCUCUGGUGGUGCAUUAAUACUGAAGUCCAAGUGGCUGUUUAAUGUCCUUACAUGCCUCAGUUGACAUUCUUCAGUUUUCUUCAUACCUUUGCAAUUAUAACCAUUACCACUUAUUUCCUUGUGUUUUAAUUUUAUAUCUGAUUUCUGGUUCUUAAUAUUUUCCUGAAGGGCUUUAAGUCAGUAAUAGCUGAUUCUCAUUUGGGGCCACUAACUUUUCAGCCUUGUAGUUUUCCAUAACACUGCAAGUUUAAAGUUUAUAAAUAAAAAAGUACUAGCAUCAAAGGCCAGUCUCAGUUGAAACAUGAAGCAGAGUUAGAAGUGGCAGCGUGAGUUGUUAAAGUAUAUAAUUGCAUUAUUCAGUUUUCCUGUUGUAUCCAAAAUGUUAGUCUUAUUUUUUCAAAUAAUUGUUUUAGGUUAGGAAACUUUUGUUCUUUUUUUCGGAGCUGGGGACCGAACCCAGGGCCUUGCGCUUCCUAGGUAAGCGCUCUACCACUGAGCUAAAUCCCCAGCCCCAGGAAACUUUUUAAAAGUGGGUGAAAACACUGAGAUGAUUUAAUGUUAUUGAUCAAAAGUAAUAAAAAUACAGAUUAUGCUUUUAUGCUUACAAUUUUGCUAAAUAAGUUAACUUUUUGUGAUUCAGGCUGAAAAACAAGUAGACACUGAAGAGGCAGGAGUGGUGACUGCAGCGACCGCUUCCAAUGUGAAAGCAAGUCCUAAGAGAGGACGGCCUGCAGCUACUGAAGUCAAGAUUCCAAAACCAAGAGGCAGACCUAAAGUGGUAAAACAGCCCUGUCCGUCAGAAAGUGACAUGGUUAUUGAUGAAGACAAAAGUAAAAAAAAGGGGCCAGAGGAAAAACCACCCAAAAAGCAGCUUAAAAAGGAGGAAGAAGGCCAAAAGGAAGAAGAGAAGCCAAGAAAAGAACCAGAUAAGAAAGAGGGGAAGAAAGAAGUCGAAUCUAAACGGAAAAAUUUAGCUAAACCAGGGGUUACGUCAACCUCUGAUUCAGAAGAAGAUGAUGAUCAAGAAGGUGAAAAGAAGAGAAAGGGUGGAAGAAACUUCCAGGCUGCUCACAGGAGGAACAUGCUAAAAGGCCAACAUGAGAAAGAAGCUGCAGAUCGGAAACGCAAGCAGGAGGAACAAAUGGAGACUGAGCACAUUAAUCCAGUAACUGAAAAGAGAAUACGAGUGGAGCAUACAAGCGAUGAAGAUCUUGAGACAGACUCAUUGGACUGAAUUUUCCCCUCCCCCCUUGAUGGAAGAAAUGUUCCAGAUUCUAAAUUGAGGACUUCACUAUUAAUGGCAUUAUUAACUGUGUUAUGAUUGUUAACAAAAUAUCCUGUAAGGUACACACUACAUAUUAAGGUUGG